rnacentral:rRNA from 1 species
UGCCAGCAGCCGCGGUAAUACGGAGGGGGUUAGCGCUAUUCGGAAUCACUGGGCUUAAAGCGUGCGUAGGCGGUUUGGAAAGUUGGGUGUGAAAUCCCUCGGCUCAACCGAGGAACUGCGCCCAAAACUGUCAGGCUUGAGGGAGAUAGAGGUGAGCGGAACUAAUGGUGGAGCGGUGAAAUGCGUUGAUAUCAUUAGGAACACCGGUGGCGAAAGCGGCUCACUGGGUCUUUUCUGACGCUGAGGCACGAAAGCUAGGGGAGCGAACGGGAUUAGAUA